UACGUAGGGGGCAAGCGUUGUCCGGAUUUAUUGGGCGUAAAGAGCGUGUAGGCGGCCAGACAGGUCAGCUGUGAAAACUCGAGGCUCAACCUCGAGACGUCGGUUGAACCGUCUGGCUAGAGUCCGGAAGAGGAGAGUGGAAUUCCCGGUGUAGCGGUGAAAUGCGCAGAUAUCGGGAAGAACACCCGUGGCGAAGGCGGCUCUCUGGGACGGUACUGACGCUGAGACGCGAAAGCGUGGGGAGCGAACAGG
rnacentral:rRNA from 1 species